rnacentral:snRNA from 7 species
AGCUUUUCGCAGUGGCAGUAUCGUAGCCAAUGAGGUUUAUCCGAGGCACAAUUAUUGCUAACUGAAAGAUUUAAAGAAAGAAAGUGA